UACGGAGGGUGCGAGCGUUGUCCGGAAUCACUGGGCGUAAAGGGCGCGUAGGUGGCCCGAUGAGUCAACGGUGAAAGCUCGACGCUCAACGUCGAGUCGGCCGUCGAUACUGUCGGGCUGGAGCACUGUAGAGGCUCAUGGAAUUCCGGGUGUAGCGGUGGAAUGCGUAGAGAUCCGGAAGAACACCGGUGGCGAAGGCGGUGAGCUGGGCAGUAGCUGACACUGAGGCGCGACAGCGUGGGGAGCAAACAGG
rnacentral:rRNA from 1 species